GAGGAUAUAGUUCAAGAGGCAGAGCACAUGCUUAGCAUGCAUGAGGUCCUGGGUUCAAACCCAGUACCUCCU
rnacentral:tRNA from 1 species